UCGGAAACUGCAAAGCAGACCCGCGAACGUGUGUUUAACCAACGGGGGGCGCCGAGGCGAGGGCGACCGAGCCUCGUCCCCCCCGCUCGCCCGUGCGACGCUCGCGUCGUUCGGGCCAACGAACCCCGGCGCGGCACGCGCCAAGGAAAACGAAAUAAGAAGCGUCCGUCCCCUGCUGCCCCGUUCGCGGGUGCCUGCGGGGGAACGCGACCUCUCUUGAAAUGUCAAAACGACUCUCGGCAACGGAUAUCUCGGCUCUCGCAUCGAUGAAGAACGUAGCGAAAUGCGAUACUUGGUGUGAAUUGCAGAAUCCCGUGAACCAUCGAGUCUUUGAACGCAAGUUGCGCCCGAAGCCAUUAGGCCGAGGGCACGUCUGCCUGGGCGUCACGCAUCGCGUCGCCCCCUCCCCAUCCCCUCGGGGAACGGCGGGACGGGGGCGGAGAUUGGCCUCCCGUGAGCGCGAGCUCGCGGCCGGCCCAAAUUCGAUCCCGCGUCGACGGAUGUCACGACCAGUGGUGGUUGGAAUAUCAACUCGCGUGCUGUCGUGCGCGUCUCCGUCGUUCGUCGGGCAUCGUCUGAGACCCAACGGCGCCUAACGGCUCCUUCGAC
rnacentral:rRNA from 1 species